rnacentral:rRNA from 1 species
UGAAACCGCAUGCAGGUAAACGGGUGGCGUCAAGCUGCAAGCCCGGAGGAUUCAGCUGGCUAGGAUGUUGUGUAUGCGCCUGGCGCAUCUAUCAGCCGGAGUAAGAUGUGAUAGUCCACUGGUAAACGGUGGGCCCGGCCGCAAGGUUGGGAUAUGUGUACCGGGCGGAAGCCGGAGCAUGCUAUUCGUCUGUUGGGCUGUCUAGUCAGUGCACUUUCUCUGUGGUGAACACCACGACCGGUGGAAUUGCCAGUCUGCUGUAGUCAAGUCGUAUUCAGUCGGUUCUUGUAGCCAACUGGGUGCGAUCACAGGCAAACUCAGUAAACGGCGUAGGGGUGUCUCGGCAUCCUUGCGUGUUAUCGGCUGCUGGUUGUCAACGGGCCUGCCUGAUGAUUGUUGUAACCGUCAUUGGGUGGUCUGGUGGGCUAUGGUGGUAAGAAUAACUGUGCAAGGCAUCGGAGUUCUCGGCCUCAAAUGCAUCCUGCAUACACGUUACAAGUGGAGUGGGGUGCCAUUGCAGCCUGCCUGUUGUUGGGUCUGAUUGUCGUGUCGCCUGCGCAAAGUGGGCCCGGCAGUGGCCUGAUGCGGGAUGGGUUGUGGAUGGUGCUUCCUGUGUAGGGUGCGGUGGGUCAAAUAGU